UACGGAGGGUGCAAACGUUGCUCGGAAUCAUUGGGCGUAAAGCGCACGUAGGCGGUCCGUUAAGUCGGGAGUGAAAGCCCCAGGCUCAACUUGGGAAGUGCUUUCGAAACUGGCGGACUUGAAUACUGGAGAGGAUCGCGGAAUUCCCGGUGUAGAGGUGAAAUUCGUAGAUAUCGGGAGGAACACCAGCGGCGAAGGCGGCGAUCUGGACAGAUAUUGACGCUGAGGUGCGAAAGCGUGGGGAGCAAACAGG
rnacentral:rRNA from 1 species